UUGUUUUUCAGACCACAGGAAUGGUCUGCAGCUUGCACUUCGUUUUGCAUGUGUUUGAAGAUAGAAUGGGACUUGACUUGGGCGGUGACUUGGCAAAAUUUUUGGCAGCAUUUGCCAGUAAUAACUGUACUGAUAGCUUGUUUUUCUAAAGAAAGUAUGUAGUGCACUAGAUGGGCAUUUUUAAGGACCAAUUUGAGAAAACAUGUAGCUAAAGGCACAUAAAUAGAUAAGUACUGACUAUAUGUUUUCCUAUCUGAGAAUAAAUGGAUUAUUCCACAAUCCACUGAGAAUACUGACCACGACACACACCACCUGCAGUAGCUGUGAUAAAUUCCAAAAAGGAAGCCUGGAAAAAGCUGCUCAUUAGAAGCUUUAAGCAGGCUGUAGAGCAGAGUUAAACAUUUGACCAUCUCUUACUCGUGUUUUGGGACUGAAACCUGUGAUUUCAAUGGUGUAGUUUUUAUGGCUUCAACUGUGGAAGUGCAAACAACUUUGGAAGAAGCAGAAGAGAGAUAAGAAACCCUGCUGCGAAUCGGCUAUCUGAUUUUUUGCAUUAAAUCUGCAUGAGUAACACAGUGAUGGUGAGAUUAGAUAAGAAAAUCAAAAUGGGCAAAAUGAACCAUGAAGCAUUACCUGCACCCAACAGUAAGACUUACUUCACCUUAGCAGCUACGUCUGAAAGCAAACAAUAACAGUUUGACGGAAAAAGUAGGGAAUUCAAAUCUAAUGGCUAUUUAAUAAUAAUGCUUUAAAAAUGCUUAGGACAAAUGUUAUGUGUUUUUCUAGUGCUUACAGGACGAUCUUCAUCAAUCUGUCCUUCCUGAUUUUGUCACUCACAUGCUGAAUUCUACAGACUGAGGGAGUGGUCGUGUUUUGUUCUUUCUUUCUACAGCAUCUAGUACCAUUAGUGUUCAUUGGCAUUGUAAUGCUGGGGAAUACUGGGACAUAUUUGUCAUUCUAUUUUAAAUGAAUAAGGAGCACUCAGUACCAGGUAAAAGCAGAUGCUGUUAUAUCCCCCGUACUGUAUUUAUCUCAGUAGUCAAAUAUAGUUUGCCGGUGACCAGAUGUACUGAUUUGCAUCUUCAGAGAAUAUUUUUGGAUGAAUGUAUGCUGGAAAUAAAGUCAUCUAGCUCCUCAGUGGGAUUGCAUGAAAAUCUAUUGGGACAAGUUAAUGAGCACAGUUGGCACAGGAGCAGGCAAGGCUCUUAAUUUUGCAUGUUCUUAAGGGGCUUAGUGUUUCUGGUACAACUUUGUUUUGGGCUCAGCCUCAGUAAUACGCGUAGGUCUCUACAUUUGCUUAAAAAGCCCCAUGUUACAUUACCAAAAGAGCAGAUUAAAGACUCAGUGAUAAUGGCUUUAUUCAACCUUGCUGAAAAUGUUAAGGCUAGCAACAAUAAAGGCUUAACUGUUCUACAUGCUGGCCAACUGGCCUUUGCAUAUUACAGCAGACAAUUGCAAGCAUUUAGCAUUUUGGUACGUAUAAAACAGAACUCCUUGGGAACACGGGAUCUGAAUACAUACCCCUGAUGCAUCCACACUGUGCAAUGGCAGAAAUACACAUUGUAAUCAACAUUGGUAACCUCACCUUUGGGAAAUUACAUGUUAUAUACAUUUCAAUUUUGCUUUCACACAUUCAGACAAAACUGAAGUGAUUGUUUCAAAUUUUCUGAAACUCCAGGGUUUCCUACACAGAAAUGAGGCUUGCUCAUUUUGCACAGAUCUAGCAGAGCAAGGAAGGUAUGACCCUCUCUGCGGCUCAUAUAUCCCACCUGGGACUGGAAUCAGGAAGGAUUUCCAGCUGCUUCCUGCAGAGCCCAGUUAGGUACAGCCUGCAUCAAUGGAGCUGGAGCCAGCCGGGUUUGCUUACCACAGCUGUAUCAGCUGGUUUAACGAAAAGCAUCAUCUUUCCUAUUGAGUGGUGCCUUAUGCAGUUCUGUGGAGUAAAGACACUGGUAAAUAAGCUAAGGAUUUUUAGCAAGUUGUGAUGUAAAUAGUGUAGAAACUGUUUAUUUGCACUUGUAGGCAUUUUGGGUCCCUGACCUGAUCAUGCUUGUAAAUUCUACAUUUAAAAGCUAGUGGAAAAUAAAUUGGAGACAGGAGAAGAAGAGUCAAUGCUUUAUGUGUUUUGAAUUUAAUCUUUGUGAUUUUUUUCUGAGUUUGAAUCACUAAUUACAAUUAAACUUAUUCAUCUUGAUAAUUCAGAGUAUGAAAAGCAGAUUUUUUUUUUGUUGCAUUUAGUUGCUUGAUUGUAUGGUUAUUAAAUGAUUACAUGGUACUUGUAAUUUUAUUUUCCAAAAGUUGCUUUAUCUGAUAUGGGCUAAAUUGUUUUCAUCUUAAGCUGUGUUCUUUAUAAAAAAAUAGUUUCCACUCAGCCUCAGCUGUUCAUGACUUUGGUUUAAAUACUUGAAGAUACU